UACGUAGGUGGCAAGCGUUGUCCGGAUUUAUUGGGUUUAAAGGGUGCGUAGGCGGUUUUGUAAGUCAGUGGUGAAAUAUGGCAGCUCAACUGUCAAGGUGCCAUUGAUACUGCAGAGCUUGAGUACAGAUGAGGUAGGCGGAAUUGACGGUGUAGCGGUGAAAUGCUUAGAUAUCGUCAAGAACACCUAUAGCGAAGGCAGCUUACUAGGCUGUAACUGACGCUGAGGCACGAAAGUGUGGGGAUCAAACAGG
rnacentral:rRNA from 1 species